UACGUAGGGUGCGAGCGUUGUCUGGAAUUACUGGGCGUAAAGAGCUCGUAGGUGGUUUGUCACGUCGUCUGUGAAAUUCCGGGGCUUAACCUCGGGCGUGCAGGCGAUACGGGCAAUACUUGAGUGCUGUAGGGGAGACUGGAAUUCCUGGUGUAGCGGUGAAAUGCGCAGAUAUCAGGAGGAACACCAAUGGCGAAGGCAGGUCUCUGGGCAGUUACUGACGCUGAGGAGCGAAAGCAUGGGUAGCGAACAGGAUUA
rnacentral:rRNA from 1 species